rnacentral:tRNA from 1 species
GCCGACGUAGCUCAGCUGGUAGAGCGGCUGAUUUGUAAUCAGCGGGUCGUCUGUUCGAGUCAGAUCGUCGGCU